rnacentral:misc_RNA from 1 species
UACACAAAUUUUGUCUCCUCUCCUGAAGGCUACUUUCAGACUGUAGCUUGCAAUGCCCCAGAAUUUGCUACAACUGUUAUUAACCACGACUUGCACUUCAUUUCUUGGGAUCGCCCUCCAAAACAACAUCCACACAAUCUCAACAUAAAUGACACAUCAAGAAUGAUUGCAAGUGGUGCUGCAUUUGCUCGCAAGUUCAAGCGAGAUGAUCCUGUUCUAGACAAGAUUGAUAAAGAACUCCUUCGUCGAAAAAAUGGUAGCUUUACCCCAGGGGGUUGGUGUACCAGCAGACCUUCUUGUUUAAAGGUUGGAAAUCCAGCAAAGCUUAAACCAGGUCCAGGGGCUAAAAGGCUUCGGCGUCUUAUUGGUAAACUAGUUUUGUCAACUAAUACUACUAGGCAACAGCAGUGUAAGUAGCUAUACUUUCCCAUGAAAAAA